CCUACGGGGGGCAGCAGUGAGGAAUAUUGGUCAAUGGGCGAGAGCCUGAACCAGCCAUCCCGCGUGCAGGAUGACAGCCCUAUGGGUUGUAAACUGCUUUUCCACGCCAAGAAACGGCUCUACGUGUAGGGCACUGACGGUAGCGUGGGAAUAAGCAUCGGCUAACUCCGUGCCAGCAGCCGCGGUAAUACGGAGGAUGCAAGCGUUAUCCGGAUUCAUUGGGUUUAAAGGGUGCGCAGGCGGGCUUUUAAGUCAGUGGUGAAAAGCUGCCGCUUAACGGUAGUCUUGCCAUUGAUACUGAGAGUCUUGAGUUUGGAUGAGGUAGGCGGAAUGUGCAGUGUAGCGGUGAAAUGCAUAGAGAUUGCACAGAACACCGAUUGCGAAGGCAGCUUACUAAUCCACGACUGACGCUGAGGCACGAAAGCGUGGGGAUCAAACAGGAUUAGAUACCCCGGUAGUC
rnacentral:rRNA from 1 species